CGCGGCCUAUCAGCUUGUUGGUGGGGUAAUGGCCCACCAAGGCGACGACGGGUAGCCGGCCUGAGAGGGCGACCGGCCACACUGGGACUGAGACACGGCCCAGACUCCUACGGGAGGCAGCAGUGGGGAAUAUUGCACAAUGGGCGAAAGCCUGAUGCAGCGACGCCGCGUGAGGGAUGACUGCCUUCGGGUUGUAAACCUCUUUCAGCUCCGACGAAGCGAAAGUGACGGUAGGAGCAGAAGAAGCACCGGCCAACUACGUGCCAGCAGCCGCGGUAAUACGUAGGGUGCAAGCGUUGCCCGGAAUUAUUGGGCGUAAAGAGCUCGUAGGCGGCUUGUCGCGUCGGCUGUGAAAACCUGGGGCUCAACCCCGGGCCUGCAGCCGAUACGGGCGGACUAGAGGCAUGCAGGGGAGAACGGAAUUCCUGGUGGAGCGGUGGAAUGCGCAGAUAUCAGGAGGAACACCGGUGGCGAAGGCGGUUCUCUGGGCAUUACCUGACGCUGAGAAUCGAAAGCGUGGGGAGCAAACAGGCUUAGAUACCCUGGUAGUCCACGCCGUAAACGAUGGGUACUAGGUGCCUGGGGGAGCGACCCUCUGGGUGCCGGCGCUAACGCAGGAA
rnacentral:rRNA from 1 species